GAAAGCUGCCAGCUCCUUGCACAAAGACUGAAAUAGUAUGGGCAGAGAAGGGUAUUGGUGUCGACAUUUGAGGAUGCUGUCAAGUCAAUGGAGUUCUGUUGUAGUGGUUGCUUCAGUGAACAUUCAACGCUGUCGGCCUUAACACCGAAGAUAGCAACCUAACCACCACAUGAUGUUUCUCCCCCACCCUGCCAAGCUUUACAAAAAAGGUCACAAUCAACAUUCAUUGCUGUCGGUGGGUUUAACUAUGUGGACAAGCUCACUGAACAAUGAAUGCAACUGUGGCCCCACAUUUUACAGUUGCUGUUGAGAGGAACAUCAGCUCUGAAAGCAGUAGUGAGAAGCAAACACUUCUUAUAGGCUACAUUUUUCUGGUCAAAAAAAUAGU